rnacentral:rRNA from 1 species
CAGUAGCCACGGUAAUACAGAGGAUGCAAGCGUUAUCCGGAAUGAUUGGGCGUAAAGCGUCUGUAGGUGGCUUUUCAAGUCCGCCGUCAAAUCCCAGGGCUCAACCCUGGACAGGCGGUGGAAACUACCAAGCUGGAGUACGGUAGGGGCAGAGGGAAUUUCCAGUGGAGCGGUGAAAUGCGUUGAGAUCGAAAAGAACACCAACAGCGAAAGCACUCUGCUGGGACGACACUGACACUAAGAGACGAAAGCUAGGGGAGCAAAUGGGAUUAGAUACCCCAGUAGUCCCUGUCUCUUAUAC